rfam:Fukomys damarensis contig114755, whole genome shotgun sequence.
GGGGGCGUAGGUCAGUGGUAGAGUGUGUGCUUCGCAUGUACGAGGUCCCGGGUUCAAACCCCAGCGCCUCCA